rnacentral:rRNA from 1 species
UAGGGAAUCUUCGGCAAUGGACGGAAGUCUGACCGAGCAACGCCGCGUGAGUGAAGAAGGUUUUCGGAUCGUAAAGCUCUGUUGUUAGAGAACAACGUUGGUAGGAGUGGAAAAUCUACCAAGUGACGGUAACUAACCAGAAAGGGACGGCUAACUACGUGCCAGCAGCCGCGGUAAUACGUAGGUCCCGAGCGUUGUCCGGAUUUAUUGGGCGUAAAGCGAACGCAGGCGGUUCUUUAAGUCUGAAGUUAAAGGCAGUGGCUUAACCAUUGUACGGAUUGGAAACUGGAGGACUUGAAUGGAGAAAGGGAGAGGGGAAUUCCAAGGGUAGCGGGGAAAUGAGUAGAAAUAUGGAGGAACAACGGUGGCGAAAGCGGCUCUCUGGUCUGUGACGGACGCUGAGGCUCGAAAGCGUGGGGAGCAAACAGG